rnacentral:piRNA from 1 species
UCUCUUUUCAAAGAAUCAACA